rnacentral:rRNA from 1 species
CCUAUGGGAGGCAGCAGUAGGGAAUCUUCCACAAUGGACGCAAGUCUGAUGGAGCAACGCCGCGUGAGUGAAGAAGGGUUUCGGCUCGUAAAGCUCUGUUGUUGGUGAAGAAGGACAGGGGUAGUAACUGACCUUUGUUUGACGGUAAUCAAUUAGAAAGUCACGGCUAACUACGUGCCAGCAGCCGCGGUAAUACGUAGGUGGCAAGCGUUGUCCGGAUUUAUUGGGCGUAAAGCGAGUGCAGGCGGCUCGAUAAGUCUGAUGUGAAAGCCUUCGGCUCAACCGGAGAAUUGCACAGAAACUGUCGAGCUUGAGUGCAGAAGAGGAGAGUGGAAUUCCACGUGUAGCGGUGAAAUGCGUAGAUAUGUGGAGGAACACCAGUGGCGAAGGCGGCUCUCUGGUCUGUAACUGACGCUGAGGCGCGAAAGCGUGGGGAGCGAACAGGAUUAGAUACCCUGGUAGUCCACGCCGUAAACGAUGAGUACUAGCUGUCAGAGGGUUCCCCCCUUUGGUGGCGCAGCAAACGCAUUAAGUACUCCGCCUGGGGAGUACGCUCGCAAGAGUGAAACUCAAAGGAAUUGACGG